rfam:Hordeum vulgare subsp. vulgare, WGS project CAJW01000000 data, contig: morex_contig_2551369
CCCAUCAGCGAAGAUGAGCUCGUUUCCUUUAUCCUAGCCGACCUUGAUAUGGACUACAACCCUCUCGUUUUAGCACUAGAUGCACGCACUGAACCAAUUUCCCUUGAUGCACUCUAUGGCCAUAUGGCUAAAUCUGACC